UCACAUGUUCCACUUCUUACUACAAUGUGAUGUAGUGGUCAAGGUUCUCUUAUCCAAGAGGUACUACAAAAUCGAUUCGAUUUUAUCCUUUGCAAGGUAAACCUAAUCACACAACGUACGCUGCCCUGUUAGGCCGCAUAUGGCAACGGUUCUCUGUGCGAACGCCAGCAUUUGAACUUCCCAUCGUAGCUCCUCAAGUACUAGUCCCCACCGAUACCUCCCAGGGUCAAAAAUGAAUUUCAAUAAUCCACCGGUACCAC
rnacentral:lncRNA from 1 species